AUGGAUGGAAUUAUGACUUUACAUGAGCUCCUCAAUUACACCCAUGUCAAGAAAAAAGUAGGGGUGGUGCUUAAGCUCGACUUCGAGAAAGCAUACGACAAGGUUAACUGGGAGUUUCUGUUGGAUUGCCACAGAAUGAGGGGGUUCAACGAAACCUGGUGUGGGUGGGUGAAAAAAAUCCUAUACAAUGGUACUGUUAGUAUCAAACUUAAUAACUCAGUGGGGCCAUAUUUUCAAAGUGCUAAAGGGGUGCGCCAAGGAGACCCCCACUCCCCCUUUCUGUUUAACCUAGCUGUAGAAUGUCUCAACAAGAUGAUCCGUAAAGCGCAGCAAAAUGGCCUCCUAACUGGGCUAGCAUCUGAUCUUGUCCCGAAUGGGGUGGCAGUUCUGCAAUACGCAGAUGACACGAUCAUUUGUCUCGAGCAUGAUGUGGAAAAGGCAUUAAAUCUGAAGCUCCUCUUAUACAUAUUCGAGCUCAUGUCUGGACUGAAAGUAAACUUCCAGAAGAGCGAGAUCCUGACUGUCGAAGGGGACGCUGACAUAGAUAGCAAGUAUGCUGAGAUCUUUAACGAUAGCCGGAUCGUCAAAGUCGACUUCCUCGAAAACGAUAGCCACUAUCUCAUCGAAAGACGGGACACCUUUGCCUCUAUCAGGCUCAGAUGA
rnacentral:rRNA from 1 species